UACGUAGGGGGCAAGCGUUGUCCGGAUUUAUUGGACGUAAAGAGCGUGUAGGCGGCUUGGUAGGUCCGCUGUGAAAACUCGAGGCUCAACCUCGAGAUGUCGGCGGAAACCACUUGGCUAGAGUCCGGAAGAGGAGAGUGGAAUUCCCGGUGUAGCGGGUGAAAUGCGCAGAUAUCGGGGAAGAACACCUAUGGCGAAGGCAGCUCUCUGGGACGGUACUGACGCUGAGACGCGAAAGCGUGGGGAGCGAACAGG
rnacentral:rRNA from 1 species